GCUUUCUCUAAACUGGAGAUAAAGUCUUUCCUAAAACACUCGUUUGGUUACUCAGUUUGUGCUGAAGCCUUUAUCCUCCAGGUCGCAUGAAGGUUGGCCAGGAGUGUACUGCAAAGCCCCCAUGUACAGGCCCUCGAGACGUGUGAGCCGACAGAAGCCCAGCUGAGUCUGAGCGAAUCCCACCUAGAGAAGGAAGAAUUCUGCUGGUGUGAAUAAAUGCGGCUGGUUCCUUUGCUUACGGAUGUUUUAAAAAUCUUAUGGCCUUUUGCUUGUCUCAGAGCCUUGGAAGCAGGUUGGAUGAUUAGACGAGUCACAAAUGAAUUACGGUGAAAUGCACUCUUUGCAUAUUUUUAUUCAAAUGUUACUUCUUUAAUUAAUUUUUAUGGGAUGCAGUUGCUUUACCAUGCUGUGUUAGUUUCUUGUACAGGAACGCCGUGUUUACACACAUACAGUGGAAUGUUGCUGUCGCUGUUCAGUCGCUUGGUCAUGUCUGACUCUUUGCCGCCCCACGGACUGCAGCACACGAGGCUUCCCCGUCCCUCACCGCCUCCCAGAGUUGGCCCAAGUUCAUGCCCAUUGCAUCGGUGAUGGCAUCCAACCAUCUCAUCACUGGAAUAUUACUCAGCCAUAAAAAGGGGAAACACUGGGUCACUCGUUACGACGCAGAUGGACCCAGAAAUGAACUCUUUCAGAUGGCAUCACUUGAUGUAAAGGAUCCAGGGGUGAGCUCCAAGCCCUCCCGCGGCGUGGCAUGCCCUCAGAGCCUGGGUCACCACCACGUGAGCUCCCGGUGUGAGGGGAGCUAAUUAAGAUGCAAGUAGCAUGCUUUUACAUUUGACUUAGUUUUCCUAAAAUCCAAACACAAUUUGACGUUUUUUGCUGUUGGGAGGUGAUCGGUCCCCUAAAGUAACAGAGGAAGGCAAAGCAAAGAUGGGACACAGUGAUGUCCACUUUGGGGUCCUUAGGCAUCAUUUGAUGAUCCCCUCUGCCUAGAAAUGGGAAAACUGAGGCCGAAAGGACCCAGUGAAUGACAGAGCCCCAAACACCCCCAGCAGUUCUUAAUCCCAGUCUGAGGUAUAAUCUGAGAUCCAGGGGACCCCCCUGGACAAAUCUGGCUUCCCCUCACCUUGCAGGCAGGCAGAGGGCCCUUGUCUCCAGCCCCCAGCCUCACUCCCAGCUGAUGAAUCAGACCCCUGAGCAUCCGUUUCAUUUCUCCCUGCAGCAUCUCGAUCACGGUGUAAAAUUAGCUCAGUCAUGAGUUUCAGGAACAAAUACCUGCAGCCCCUUCAGUGGCAAGAAAAAGAAACCAAUGGGGACUUUCCUCUCUCCUGCUGCCAGGCCUGGGCCCUGCGGUGCAGGGGUACAGGGGAAGCUCGGGAAGGGGGGGGCCCCACUGUUCACCUGGGAUGCCCAGGAGGCAGGGGAAAAGUCUGGGCCUUUUCCCGUCUCACUUCCCCCCACCCUGGGCAGCUCCUCGCCAGCCUGAGCACAAAGCCUGCUGUCCCUGAGUUUUCCUGUAAACCUGCUGUUGCUUCCCAGGCCCACACUCCUGAGCGUCUAUGGAAGGGUGACUCAGGUACAGAAAAGUGCACACACCGUACACUCGGCGCAUUUGCACUCAGGGCACGCGUGUAACAGCCCCAUGUGAGAAAAUGGCCCAUCAUCAUCCCCCGACGGCAACCCUGUCCUCGCCUCCAAUGACAUAGACCCGUCUUGCCUGGCUCUGAACUCUGUGACUUGGAAUCAUAGCGUGCAAACUGCUAAGUUUCUGGUUUAUUUUACUGAACAUUCUGUCUGGGCAAAAAUCCACACAGUUUCAUGUGUGUAGAUCAUCCCUUCUCCUCGCUCUAUUCUGUGUAAAUGCACUGCGAUUCUUAAGCCACACAGCAGGACAUUCUCAUUUUAGUAGGUUAAAAAAAAAAGGCAGCAAAACAGUUGGCAGUUCCCUAUGAUUCCCCUUUAGUAUCUAUCCGCUCAUUUAUUUCUGGUAAAUGCAUAGUUUUGUAAUGUACUCUCAUUCUGCUUUGUUUUGUUGUUUAAACUUGGCAGGGUUUUUUGGUUUUGUUUUUUUUAUCAGAAUAUAGUUGCUUUACGA